rnacentral:rRNA from 1 species
AGCGGAGGAAAAGAAAAUAACAAUGAUUCCCUCAGUAACGGCGAGCGANGAGGGAUAAGCUCAANUUUUAANUCUGUUGGGUUCCACUUAACAGAGUUGUAUUUUGAAGAAACGUUUUCUGCGUCCAGGAUUAGCCUAAAUCCUUUGGGAUAAGGUAUCAUGGAGGGUGAGAAUCCCGUUCAUGGUUAAUCUUAAGGAAGCUCUACGAUACGUUUUCCAAGAGUCGAGUUGUUUGGGAUUGCAGCUCAAAAUGGGAGGUAAAUUUCUCCUAAGGCUAAAUAUUGGCGAGAGACCGAUAGCGAACAAGUACCGUGAGGGAAAGAUGAAAAGAACUUUGAAAAGAGAGUUAAACAGUACGUGAAAUUGUUGAAAGGGAAACGAUUGAAGUCAGUCAUACCAACGGGAAAUCAACCUUUUGAGCUCGGUCUCGUGGGUUUUGAAGAGUUUCAAAGCCUUCGGAUUCGCGGGAUUGGGAUCUCUUGGUGUACUUUUUCGUACGGUUAGUCAACAUCGGUUUUGAAUGUCAUAAAAUGACUGGAGGAAUGUAGCUUCGAUCUCGUAUUGAAGUGUUAUAGCCUUUGGUAGAUGUGAUGUUUGAGACCGAGGAUUGCAACGGAUACCCUUCAGGGCUAUUCGUCUGAUCUCUGAUACGUUGCCUUGAUGUUGAAAGCUUGCUUAUGAUGUUAGGGUAUUACGGUCAAAAGGUUAGAACGAAUUACAUUCGUUAAGGAUGUUGACGUAAUGACUUUAAACGACCCGUCUUG